CCGCGAUGGGAGCAAGGGGAUGGGCUCUGCAGUUAGGCAGCGUUUCAGCCCAAUGCUGGCAUACAGAGAAGUCCCCAUGAUGCCUUUACCCAGGACAAUGAACUGUGGAGCAUCAGCAUUCAAAAGCUGAAAUAAGGAUGGCUUGAAGACAGAGAGAUUCACACACUUAGAGAACUGCUCCCAAAGCAAAAGCAUCCCUCCAUUUAACACAGCCCAAAAGAGGGCAAGAUACCUGGUACUCACUGAGCCCACUGCUGAGAAAAUGAAAACCGUGCUGGCCUCCCACAUCCUCCUGAUGGAUGAAAGUUACUUCAAAGGAGCCAAGCCACAGACAAAGUGCAAAAGAAAGAGGCCAGGGUCUGCUGAGAGCUGCAGAAGCCUGCAAUCACCUCAACCUGAGGCUCUGCUAUCAGGUGUAAGUUAACCACCUGAGGAGCUCUCAGCGGGGGUCAGGCUGUAGCAGCGAGAGGCAGGGCUAAUGGAGGCACUGCAUCAGUCAGGCUUGUUCAGCCUCACCUGAAAUGUCCCUUUUCGGAUGUUCUCUGUAUGAGCCGAACAAGGAAGAGCUGAAAUAAAAAGUACAUUUCUUUGU